UAGGGAAUAUUGCACAAUGGGCGAAAGCCUGAUGCAGCAACGCCGCGUGCACGAUGAAGGCCUUCGGGUCGUAAAGUGCUUUUCAGGGAGACGAGGAAGGACGGUAUCUCUGGAAUAAGGAUCGGCUAACUACGUGCCAGCAGCCGCGGUAAAACGUAGGAUCCGAGCGUUAUCCGAAUUCACUGGGCGUAAAGCGCGUGCAGGCGGACUGGUAAGUUGGAUGUGAAAUCUCCCGGCUCAACUGGGAGAGGACGUUCAAUACUGCCAGACUAGAGGACGGUAGAGGGAGGUGGAAUUCCCGGUGUAGUGGUGAAAUGCGUAGAUAUCGGGAGGAACACCAGUGGCGAAAGCGGCCUCCUAGGCCGUACCUGACGCUCAGACGCGAAAGCUAGGGGAGCAAACG
rnacentral:rRNA from 1 species